AUUGAACGCUGGCGGCAGGCCUAACACAUGCAAGUCGAGCGGAGCGGCGGACGGGUGAGUAAUGCCUAGGAAUCUGCCUUGUAGUGGGGGAUAACGUCCGGAAACGGGCGCUAAUACCGCAUAAUAUCAGAUGAGCCUCGGUGGGCUUAGCUAGUUGGUGGGGUAAAGGCCUACCAAGGCGACGAUCCGUAACUGGUCUGAGAGGAUGAUCAGUCACACUGGAACUGAGACACGGGACAGACGCCUACGGUAAGCAGCAUUGGGGAAGAGUGGGCAAUGGGCGAAAGCCUGAUGCAGCCAUGCCGAGUGUGUGAAGAAGGUCUUCGGAUUGUAAAGCACUGUAAGUUGGGAGGCGGUACCAACAGAAUAAGCACCGGCUAACUACGUGCCAGCAGCCGCGGUAAUUC
rnacentral:rRNA from 1 species